rnacentral:rRNA from 1 species
UACGGAGGGGGCAAGCGUUGUUCGGAAUUAUUGGGCGUAGAGGGUGCGUAGGCGGUCUGACAAGUCUGAUGUGAAAAUCUAUGGGCUCAACCCAUAGUCUGCAUCGGAAACUGUCGGGCUUGAGUAUGGGAGAGGUGAGUGGAAUUUCCGGUGUAGCGGUGAAAUGCGUAGAUAUUGGGAAGAACACCGGUGGCGAAGGCGGCGACCUGGUCCUUGACUGACGCUGAGGCGCGAAAGCGUGGGGAGCAAACAGG